rnacentral:rRNA from 1 species
GAUGAACGCUGGCGGCGUGCCUAAUACAUGCAAGUCGAGCGAACGGACGAGAAGCUUGCUUCUCUGAUGUUAGCGGCGGACGGGUGAGUAACACGUGGAUAACCUACCUAUAAGACUGGGAUAACUUCGGGAAACCGGAGCUAAUACCGGAUAAUAUUUUGAACCGCAUGGUUCAAAAGUGAAAGACGGUCUUGCUGUCACUUAUAGAUGGAUCCGCGCUGCAUUAGCUAGUUGGUAAGGUAACGGCUUACCAAGGCAACGAUGCAUAGCCGACGUGAGAGGGUGAUCGGCCACACGGGAACUGAGACACGGUCCAGACUCCUACGGGAGGCAGCAGUAGGGAAUCUUCCGCAAUGGGCGAAAGCCUGACGGAGCAACGCCGCGUGAGUGAUGAAGGUCUUCGGAUCGUAAAACUCUGUUAUUAGGGAAGAACAUAUGUGUAAGUAACUGUGCACAUCUUGACGGUACCUAAUCAGAAAGCCACGGCUAACUACGUG